GGGGCUUUACGGCCCCCCUUGCGGGCAAGAGAGCCUGUGAGGGCAUCCAAAGAGGCUUGACGAUCUCCCUUGCGGGAAAGAGAGCCCAUGAAGCCUUCCAAAGAGGUCUCACAGCCUCCCUUGUGGCCGUAAGCCAACCCGUGAGCAGCCCACGGGUUGGGGCCUAUUUAAGGCACUUCUUGGACCAUCUAGGGUCUUCUUGAGCCCCUUUUUUCUCUCCUUCUUCCUUCUCCUCUUCAGCCUUCAUUUCUCCUCUAUAAACUCAUCAUCUUUGGCCUCCAAGAAAGGAAAGAAGUGGAGAUCUUUCUCCUUCUCUCUUGAUGAAAAGCUUCCUUAGGGUUUGGUGAACUUGGAGGUAUUUGAAAGUUCGUUGUUCCACCACUAGCUGUGAAGUCUGUUUUGAGUUACAGGUUAUCCUGGUGUCAAUAGAUUAUGAUCAAGGGGUAUAAUGGCCAUUACAAGUAUUUGGAAGUUCGUUGUUGCAAUUGAAGCUUAAGAGGGAAAGUUUAAAUGGAUGUGAUCUAAUCCAUCAAGAAGUUUAGUAUAAGUUUGAGGCAAAUGGAGAGAGCUCGGAUUGUGUUUGUGAAGAACGGUCAGGAUUUUGAAGAUCAAAGAGAGUGCAUAAGUUUGAGACAGAAGAGAAAGUCUAGCAUCGGGGUUAAAGUCAAGCAUCGGGGUUGGAUUAUGAUCGUGUGGCCAAGAUCUGAUCAAUCAAAGAGUUGUGUUUUAAGUUUGAGGCAAGAUUGAUAAGCUGUUUUGAUGCACCAGGUUGUUGCACGUGUCUAGCUUAGUCAUCUAGUCAAUUUUAUUUUGGUUACCAAAGUUUUAGUCUAUUUAAAUUACUGAUGUUUUAGUUUAAUGUUUUCAUGUUUUUCUGUUUUUCUUAGAAGUCUUCUCUCUUGUAUGAAUUUUAAAGAAUUGUAGAAGAGUUUUCUCAGUUGGAGUUGAAUAGAUAACUUGUUCCUCUUGA